rnacentral:rRNA from 1 species
UACGAAGGGGGCUAGCGUUGCUCGGAUUUACUGGGCGUAAAGGGCGCGUAGGCGGACAGUUAAGUCAGAGGUGAAAGCCCAGGGCUCAACCCUGGAAUUGCCUUUGAUACUGGCUGUCUUGAGUGCGGGAGAGGUGUGUGGAACUCCGAGUGUAGAGGUGAAAUUCGUAGAUAUUCGGAAGAACACCAGUGGCGAAGGCGACACACUGGCCCGUAACUGACGCUGAGGCGCGAAAGCGUGGGGAGCGAACAGG